rnacentral:rRNA from 1 species
CCGGAGGAAGCGGGGAUGACGUCAAGUCCUCAUGGCCCUUAUGGGCUGGGCUACACACGUGCUACAAUGGCGGUGACAGAGGGCAGCGAGAGGGCGACCUUGAGCUAAUCCCUAAAAGCCGUCUCAGUUCGGAUUGUACUCUGCAACUCGAGUGCAUGAAGGUGGAAUCGCUAGUAAUCGCGGAUCAGCAUGCCGCGGUGAAUACGUUCCCGGGCCUU